GCCUGGGUGGCUCAGUCGGUUAAGCGUCUGACUUUGGCUCAGGUCAUGAUCUCACAGUUCGUGAGUUCGAGCCCACAUCGGGCU
rnacentral:tRNA from 1 species